GGAGACAUGGCUCAGUGGUUAAGAGCGUUGACUGUUCAUCCAGAGGUCCUGAGUUCAAAUCCCAGUAACCCCA
rfam:Rattus norvegicus chromosome 2, whole genome shotgun sequence.